GGCUCAGAACGAACGCUGGCGGCGCGUUUAAGCAUGCAAGUCGAGCGGCAAGGGCCUUCGGGCCCCUAGAGCGGCGGACGGGUGAGUAACACGUGGACAAUCUGCCCCCCGGCCCGGGAUAGCCCAGGGAAACCUGGAUUAAUACCGGAUGAGACGGGACCCGCGAUGGCGGGACCCGGGAAAGGCGCUGCGGCGCCGCCGGGGGGAUGAGUCUGCGUCCCAUUAGCUAGACGGCGGGGUAACGGCCCACCGUGGCGACGAUGGGUAGCCGGCCCGAGAGGGUGGACGGCCACAUUGGAACUGAGACACGGUCCAGACUCCUACGGGAGGCAGCAGUAGGGAAUUUUCCGCAAUGGGCGCAAGCCUGACGGAGCAACGCCCGCGUGAGUGAGGACGGCUUUCGGGUUGUAAAACUCUGUUCUUCGGGAAGAACGGCGGUCGGGUGAAUAGCCCGAUUGCGUGACGGUACCGAAGGAGAAAGCCCCGGCUAACUACGUGCCAGCAGCUGC
rnacentral:rRNA from 1 species